rnacentral:lncRNA from 1 species
AGAAAGAACCAGCCAGUGAAACUGAGAACAAGUGGCCAGGGAGGUUUGUUAUCGACCCAAUCAUUACAUCGCUACCCAAGAGUUGGAAACUUCCUGUGUUGCCCACGCUGGUCUCAAACUCCUGGACUCAUGGGAUCCUCCCACCUUGGCCUCCCAAAGCAGUGGUAUUACAGGCAUGAGCCAUUGCACUGGGCUCCUGUUUAGUUUUAAUUUUAAAACACCUCAAGAGUCAGAUAAUUCAGGGAAAGACCAUGCAAGGCUGUUACUGAAGAAAGUGCUACGAGUCUGUUCUAGACAUGGCUUGCCUAGCACUGAGCAUCCUUCCUCACUUCUAAGUGAGAAUUUUCCAGAUCUGUGCAUUGGGGUCCCCCAAGAAAGAGGCUCAGUCCUGAUGUACUGUUUCCUGUAUACUGCAUGCUCACCCCCCAAAACCACAUGGUUAAUCCAGAUCCAGCCCCUGCUUUCUUAGUUAUGAGGCUUCUCAUGGCAAAGCAAUAAAAAGCAAGUUUUCAAUGAUAAAGUCAUGUCUGAAAACAUGUUAAUUGUCAUCAUCUUUGAUGUUGUAACCUGAGCUAUAGAUUGUUGGGAUGCACACGUUACUCUUUUAAGCUUAUGUGCCUUGAUUCUGUCUACAUCAUUUCUUUCUUUCUGAACUGUGAACUGCGCUAAUUUGAUGGGGUUUGCUACCUGAUUGGGGUCCUGACCUUAGCCUUCAUCUUGCCAUAUACAGUUUGUUUUUGUCUCCAUCAGCGUUAGCUCUGUUCAACGCCCUUGUGGAGUCCAGGACUUAGAGAGAGGAUCUCCAAGCAGAAGCCCCCAGCCCACGUGAGAACAGGGAGACCCUUGUGCCCUUAACUGUUUUCCAUAGUACUGCCCAGCCUUGUACACUCUGGCCCAAAUGUUCCUCACCUUUGGAAGACACAGAACUUCUUUCAAAACCAUUGAAAUAUCGAGAUCAUUUCCGCAGAAAGAAAAUGUAAUUUAAGUUGAUUUUGGCAUCUGAGGAGGUGUAUGAUCUCUACAAUAAGAACUGCAAAAACACUGCUCAAAGAAAUCAGAGAUGAUACAAACAGUGAAAAAAUAUCCCAUGCUCAUGGAUAGGAAGAAGCAAUAUUAUUUAAAUGGCCAUGCUACUCAAAGCAAUUUACAGAUUCAGUGCUAUCCCUAUCAAACUACCAAUGACAUUCUUCACGGAAUUAGAAAAAACUAUUUUAAAAUUCAUACAGAACCAUAAAAGCCCAAAUAGCCAAGGCAAUCAAUUCUAAGCAAAAAGAACAAAACUUGGAGGCAUCAAUUUAUGUGACUUGAAACUACACUACAGGGCUACCGUAACCAAAACAGCCUGGUACUGGUACAAAAGCAUACACAUAGACCAACAGAACAGAAUAGAGAGCCUAGAAAUAAUGCCACACACCUGUAAUCAUCUGAUCUUUGACAAAGUUGACAAAAGCAAUGGGGAAAGGACUCCCUAUUCAAUAAAUGGUGCUGGGAUAACUGGGUAGCCACAUGCAAAAGAUUGAAACUGGACCCCUUCCUUACACCAUAUACAAAUAUCAACUCAAGAUGAAUUAAAGAAUUAAAUGUGAAACCUCAAACUAUAAAAAUCCUUCAAUAUAACCUAGGAAUUAGCAUUUUUGACAUAGGCCCCAGCAAAGAUACUUUCUUCUUAAUACCUAGGAAGUGCCCAUUUACAAAAAUAAUGUCCUUCUUUGCUGACUUUGAAAAUAUACUCGGAUAAAACAGAGUAGGUCUUAUUAAUUGCAUAUGUUCACAUUUCAAAAUGUAAGUAGCCUUAUGUAAACCCCUAAAUAGCUAGUGACAUGAAUUUUUCAUUUCUUACAUGUGAAUAAACUUAAGCUGUACAUAGUUAAGAAGGCUUGGAACAAUUCAUAGAGAUUAUGACCUGUGAAGAACUGGCCAUCCAGAUAGGUCCCCACCACAUGCCACUGACCUUAUCUCCACCAUCACUGACUUCUUUUUAUGUUUAGAGGAUCCAGAUGCUCAGUGUCAUCUUCGAAGAUGCCAGGUCACAUUGGCAAAGGCCGCAAGAACUGAUAUGAAAAACCAGAUGCAAUGAAAACCGUAACUGUACAUGAGACAGAACUGCCCAAGGUCAAGCUGGGGCAUUCUGUGUGAAGAGGAAGAUGCCUUGGCAGAAGAUCACUUCAUCAUGACCAGGGCAUCAGAAGAAGGGGUCGCAGAAUUUAUUCAUGAUUCAAUAAGUAUGCACCACCUGUCUGGAAGUGAGUUAGCAUAAAACAUAAGUUCAGUAAGAAUACAAGAAUGAGUGAGUGAAUUAAGAAAUGAAUGGAUUGGGAGUUACCAUUGGCCACACACCGCUUAGACAGUAGAAUAUCUCAGCCAGGUAGAAAGAAUGGAUCAUGGUGGCCCAGCAAAGCAUGUACUUCCUGGGGCAGAUUGUGGCAUCAUUAUCUCCAACAUCUCUGACAAUUUCUGUUUCAAGUUAAGGGCUGGUCAGCUUCUAUUCUUAGAAACACUUUCUUUACACAUGUCAGUAAAUCAAAUCUUGUCUUUAGAGACAAUCCAUCUUGUUAAACUAACUUUGUUUGGGUCUACCCUGACCCUGUUUGUGCCACCCCUGCCCCCAUACAUAUAAUCAGUUUUGUCUGUAGUUAUAAUUUGUCCAUAAUUUGGAAAAGAGAAGCCUAAAAAAGUUCACUCUAGACACUUUCAGCUAGGAACAAACUUAUAUGUGAAAAUAAUUAAAAUGUGGGGAGUGAAGGUUUAUAGUGGAACUAUUUACAGACCCUCAAACACUGCACAACAGUUGAAACUUUGCUGUAGUGACUUCAUUCUCUUAGUUGUCAAUCUGUUUUUCUUCUACAUUUCUUCCACAUACUUCUGGUAUAUUUUUAAUAAAGAUUUUUCAAAAAGAUAAAUAUGGCUUAUAUUUUCCCAGCUCAAAAUUCCCCUGAAGGCCUCCGAAGCAGUAAAUAGUAGUGCUU